rnacentral:rRNA from 1 species
GCACGAGAAAGUGGAGCAAUCCAUGAGUAAAGUGGCGCACGGGUGAGUAACACGUGACUAACCUACCCUCGAGUGGGGAAUAACUUCGGGAAACCGAGGCUAAUACCGCAUAACACUUACGAGUCAAAGCAGCAAUGCGCUUGGGGAGGGGGUCGCGGCAGAUUAGCUAGUUGGUGAGGUAAUGGCUCACCAAGGCGAUGAUCUGUAUCCGGCCUGAGAGGGCGCACGGACACACUGGAACUGAAACACGGUCCAGACUCCUACGGGAGGCAGCAGUGGGGAAUUUUGCGCAAUGGGGGAAACCCUGACGCAGCAACGCCGCGUGGAGGAUGAAAUCCCUUGGGAUGUAAACUCCUUUCGAUCGGGACGAUUAUGACGGUACCGGAAGAAGAAGCCCCGGCUAACUUCGUG